UUGCCUUAGUAACGGCGAGUGAAGCGGCAACAGCUCAAAUUUUAAAGCUGGCGUCCUCGACGCCCGCGUUGUAAUUUGGAGAGGCAUCUUCGGUUUGGGCGCCAGCCUAUGUUCCUUGGAACAGGACGUCACAGAGGGUGAGAAUCCCGUGCUUGGCUGGCUGUCCCUCUCCAUGUGAAGUGUCUUCGACGAGUCGAGUUGUUUGGGAAUGCAGCUCAAAAUGGGUGGUAAAUUUCAUCUAAAGCUAAAUAUUGGCGGGAGACCGAUAGCGCACAAGUAGAGUGAUCGAAAGAUGAAAAGCACUUUGAAAAUAGAGUUAAAAAGUACGUGAAAUUGUUGAAAGGGAAGCGCUUGAGACCAGACUCGGCCGGAGACGAUCAGCGGUCCUUUUGGGCCGUGCACUCGUCCUCGGUUGGGCCAGCAUCGGUUGAGACGGCGGGAUAAAGGCCUGGGGAAUGUGGCUCCUUUCGGGGAGUGUUAUAGCCCUGGGUGCAAUGCCGCCAGCCUCGACCGAGGACCGCGCUUUAUUGCUAGGAUGCUGGCGUAAUGGUCUUCAGCGACCCGUCUUGAAACACGGACCAAGGAGUCUAACAUCUAUGCGAGUGUUUGGGUGUCAAACCCUUGC
rnacentral:rRNA from 1 species